rnacentral:tRNA from 2 species
GGCGACGUAGCUCAGGCGGUUAGAGCGAGGGCUUCAUAAUCCCUAGGUCGGUGGUUCAAGUCCACCCGUCGCCACCA